AUCUUUGCGCUUGGGGCAAUGAUGCAGCUAGUGAGGUUCUAACCGAGGCGCGUCUAUUGCUGGUUGAAAACUAUUUCCAAACCCCCUCUUCAACCUGAGCUUGACUCGGGUGGUCGAGAAUUUCUGGAAGGGUGCCCUAUUUUGGGUAUCGCC